UACGUAGGGUGCGAGCGUUAAUCGGAAUUACUGGGCGUAAAGGGCGCGUAGGCGGCCUUCUAAGUCGAACGUGAAAUCCCCGGGCUCAACCCGGGAACUGCGUCCGAUACUGCAAGGCUUGAAUCCGGGAGAGGGAUGCGGAAUUCCAGGUGUAGCGGUGAAAUGCGUAGAUAUCUGGAGGAACACCGGUGGCGAAGGCGGCAUCCUGGACCGGUAUUGACGCUGAGGCGCGAAAGCCAGGGGAGCAAACGGG
rnacentral:rRNA from 1 species